rnacentral:rRNA from 1 species
AAACUAACAAGGAUUCCCUUAGUAACGGCGAGUGAACCGGGAAGAGCUCAAAUUUAAAAGCUGGUAGUCUUCGAUUGCCCGCAUUGUAAUCUAUAGACGUGUUUUCCGCGCUGGACCGUAUCUAAGUCCCUUGGAACAGGGUAUCAAAGAGGGUGACAAUCCCGUGCUUGAUACGACCACCAGUGCUCUGUGAUACACGCUCUACGAGUCGAGUUGUUUGGGAAUGCAGCUCAAAAUGGGUGGUAAAUUCCAUCUAAAGCUAAAUAUUGGCGAGAGACCGAUAGCGAACAAGUACCGUGAGGGAAAGAUGAAAAGCACUUUGGAAAGAGAGUUAAACAGUACGUGAAAUUGUUGAAAGGGAAACGAUUGAAGUCAGUCGUGUUCUUUGGAUUCAGCUAGUUCUUCUAGUCUACUUCCAUUGAACGGGUCAACAUCAGUUUUGUUCGGUGGAUAAAGGUAGCAGGAAUGUGGCUUCCCCGGAAGUGUUAUAGCCUGUUGCUGCAUACACUGGAUGAGACUGAGGACUGCAGCUCGGCUUUGCCGACCGCUUCGGCGCUUAGGAUGUUGACAUAAUGGCUUUAAACGAC